rnacentral:rRNA from 1 species
GACAGAGGUGCCGAGCGUUAGGCGGAAUCACUGGGCUUAAAGCGUGUGUAGGCGGAUCUGUAAGUACCUUGUGAAACCCCACGGCUCAACCGUGGAACUGCUUGGUAUACUGGUUGUCUUGAGCCAGCUAGGGGCGAGCGGAACAGACGGUGGAGCGGUGAAAUGCGUAGAUAUCGUCUGGAACGCCGAAGGUGAAAACAGCUCGCUGGGGCUGCGCUGACGCUGAGACACGAAAGCCAGGGGAGCGAACGGG